UACGUAGGGGCCAAGCGUUGUCCGGAUUAUUGGGCGUAAAGAGCUCGUAGGCGGUUCGGUAAGUCAGCUGUGAAAUCUCCACGCUCAACGUGGAGGGGUCAGCUGAUACUGCCGUGACUUGAGUCUGGUAGGGGAGUGCGGAAUUCCCGGUGUAGCGGUGAAAUGCGCAGAUAUCGGGAGGAACACCAGUGGCGAAGGCGGCACUCUGGGCCAGUACUGACGCUGAGGAGCGAAAGCUAGGGUAGCAAACGGG
rnacentral:rRNA from 1 species